rnacentral:tRNA from 1 species
AGUUUUAUAUUCGAUUUAAGAUAUUAAAUUGCAAAUUUGAUGAAGUAAAUAUUUACUAAAACUU